rnacentral:rRNA from 1 species
UUGCUCUCUGGGUGACGAGCGGCGGACGGGUGAGUAAUGUCUGGGAAACUGCCCGAUGGAGGGGGAUAACCACUGGAAACGGUGGCUAAUACCGCAUAACGUCUACGGACCAAAGAGGGGGACCUUCGGGCCUCUUGCCAUCGGAUGUGCCCAGAUGGGAUUAGCUAGUAGGUGGGGUAACGGCUCACCUAGGCGACGAUCCCUAGCUGGUCUGAGAGGAUGACCAGCCACACUGGAACUGAGACACGGUCCAGACUCCUACGGGAGGCAGCAGUGGGGAAUAUUGCACAAUGGGCGCAAGCCUGAUGCAGCCAUGCCGCGUGUGUGAAGAAGGCCUUCGGGUUGUAAAGCACUUUCAGCGAGGAGGAAGGCCAAUAGCUUAAUACGCUGUUGGAUUGACGUUACUCGCAGAAGAAGCACCGGCUAACUCCGUGCCAGCAGCCGCGGUAAUACGGAGGGUGCAAGCGUUAAUCGGAAUUACUGGGCGUAAAGCGCACGCAGGCGGUUUGUUAAGUCAGAUGUGAAAUCCCCGCGCUUAACGUGGGAACUGCAUUUGAAACUGGCAAGCUAGAGUCUCGUAGAGGGGGGUAGAAUUCCAGGUGUAGCGGUGAAAUGCGUAGAGAUCUGGAGGAAUACCGGUGGCGAAGGCGGCCCCCUGGACGAAGACUGACGCUCAGGUGCGAAAGCGU